UAGCUCAGGGCUAAUCUUCCUCGAAAAAAUAAAAAUAAAAAAAUAAAGUCUUCAAUUUGUGUUUUUAGAUCCUCCAGUGUUGGUCCCAAUUCACUUACCAAAUUUUAUUUUCUAUUCGGUCUAGGACCUGUGGUCCAGGCAGUCCAGUCAUUUCAGCUAUCAUCUGACAUUCAUGGAUUAAAAUCAGCAUUUCUGAAGUUGCUCUGAAGAACACAAGUCUGGAAAAAAUUGUUCAAUUGUCAAAGUGGUUUGGGAAAUGUCAGUGUCCAUGGAAAACAAUUUUGGAAAUUAUACUUCCUACUAUGAGUUUCUUGCAGACAGAGAUGAUUUGACCAAAGCACCACACAGAGACACAUCUGAGGACAAGCAGUAUGGUCUCUGCUUACCAUUGAAUGUAUCUUCCCUCCCUUUGGCAAAACACGUUUAAUGCUCUGAGUAAACCCGCUUCUCAGCAAGGGAAAACAAAUGUGGAGACAGGAAACCAGCCGUUCUGGGAGCUCUUGUCUUCGGAUGACAGAAAAUUUGUAUGAGUAGAACCAUGGACAGCAGCUAUUGUCACAAAGCAGCAAUGCUUAAUUUCAUGGGCCUCCUAAGAUUCUUGCAGGUGGUGAGUAGGCGUGGGACUUCACACUUAUAACUGUAAGCAAUCAUACGACAGGUUAUUUUUUUCUUUGUGUUGUGUGUGUGUAUGUUAGAGAAGUGGGGAAAAUAAGGUGAUGGGCUUCUGUCUUAGUCUGUUUGGACUGCUAAAAUAGAAUACUGUAGACUGGGUGGCUUAUAAACAACAAAAAUUUAUUUCUCAUUAUUCUGGAGGCUGGGACGUCCAAGAUCAAGAUGACAGCAGAUUUGUUGUCUGAUGAGAAACCAUUUCAUGAUUCAUAGAUAGCCAUCUUCUCCCUGUAUUCUCUGAUGGCAUAAGGGGCAAGGGAGCUCUCUGAAGCCUCUUUUGUAAGACCACUAUUCCCACUCAUAAGGCCUCCACCUUCAUGACCUAAUCGCCUCCUAAAGGGCCCACCUCCUAAUACCAUCACAUUGGGAAUUAGGAUUUCAACAAAUGAACUUUGGGAGACACAAAACUUUAGUCCAUAGCAGCUAUCUUGUGCACAAUAACUCAGGCCGAAUCCCUCUAGACCUCAUGAUAGUGACAGCAUUUGAAUAGAACGUUAUAAUUAAAGAGUAUUAUUUUCACUUACAUUUUAACAUUUGUUUAUAAUACCAGCUUUGUAUUAGGGAUACUUCAAGAUAAUGCUGAAAUCUCUUCCCAUGGUUUAAGAGUCCCUCUGGUCUGGCCCCUACUUACCUCAUCAGCAUUUGUUUCAGCUCUUACUUCUUUGGACUCCGUUCUCCAGCCAAUCUAAACUCCUAUUAUUUGUUACAUCAUGUACUGUUCCUAGUCUUUCAGCCUUUGGAUAUCUCUUCUCUCUGCC
rnacentral:lncRNA from 1 species